AUGAACGCUAGCUACAGGCUUAACACAUGCAAGUCGAGGGGCAGCAUGGUCUUAGCUUGCUAAGACUGAUGGCGACCGGCGCACGGGUGAGUAACACGUAUCCAACCUGCCGUCUACUCUUGGACAGCCUUCUGAAAGGAAGAUUAAUACAAGAUGGCAUCAUGAGUCCGCAUGUUCACAUGAUUAAAGGUAUUCCGGUAGACGAUGGGGAUGCGUUCCAUUAGAUAGUAGGCGGGGUAACGGCCCACCUAGUCUUCGAUGGAUAGGGGUUCUGAGAGGAAGGUCCCCCACAUUGGAACUGAGACACGGUCCAAACUCCUACGGGAGGCAGCAGUGAGGAAUAUUGGUCAAUGGGCGAGAGCCUGAACCAGCCAAGUAGCGUGAAGGAUGACUGCCCUAUGGGUUGUAAACUUCUUUUAUAAAGGAAUAAAGUCGGGUAUGGAUACCCGUUUGCAUGUACUUUAUGAAUAAGGAUCGGCUAACUCCGUGCCAGCAGCCGCGGUAAUACGGAGGAUCCGAGCGUUAUCCGGAUUUAUUGGGUUUAAAGGGAGCGUAGAUGGAUGUUUAAGUCAGUUGUGAAAGUUUGCGGCUCAACCGUAAAAUUGCAGUUGAUACUGGAUAUCUUGAGUGCAGUUGAGGCAGGCGGAAUUCGUGGUGUAGCGGUGAAAUGCUUAGAUAUCACGAAGAACUCCGAUUGCGAAGGCAGCCUGCUAAGCUGCAACUGACAUUGAGGCUCGAAAGUGUGGGUAUCAAACAGGAUUAGAUACCCUGGUAGUCCACACGGUAAACGAUGAAUACUCGCUGUUUGCGAUAUACAGCAAGCGGCCAAGCGAAAGCGUUAAGUAUUCCACCUGGGGAGUGCGCCGGCAACGGUGAAACUCAAAGGAAUUGACGGGGGCCCGCACAAGCGGAGGAACAUGUGGUUUAAUUCGAUGAUACGCGAGGAACCUUACCCGGGCUUAAAUUGCAGAUGAAUUACGGUGAAAGCCGUAAGCCGCAAGGCAUCUGUGAAGGUGCUGCAUGGUUGUCGUCAGCUCGUGCCGUGAGGUGUCGGCUUAAGUGCCAUAACGAGCGCAACCCUUGUUGUCAGUUACUAACAGGUUCCGCUGAGGACUCUGACAAGACUGCCAUCGUAAGAUGUGAGGAAGGUGGGGAUGACGUCAAAUCAGCACGGCCCUUACGUCCGGGGCUACACACGUGUUACAAUGGGGGGUACAGAGGGCCGCUACCACGCGAGUGGAUGCCAAUCCCAAAAACCUCUCUCAGUUCGGACUGGAGUCUGCAACCCGACUCCACGAAGCUGGAUUCGCUAGUAAUCGCGCAUCAGCCACGGCGCGGUGAAUACGUUCCCGGGCCUUGUACACACCGCCCGUCAAGCCAUGGGAGCCGGGGGUACCUGAAGUGCGUAACCGCGAGGAGCGCCCUAGGGUAAAACUGGUGACUGGGGCU
rnacentral:rRNA from 1 species